rnacentral:lncRNA from 1 species
AAUUCUGGAUCAGCAAGCGAGGGGGAAAGACCGGACCGCUCCGACCCACCCCCUCCCUACCCCCACCUCCCACCUUAAAGCACCUUAUACCACGGAAGGCUCUCAGCCUCUUCUUUCCUCUGCGAACGCGCUGAGCAGCGAUUGAAAACGUUUUGGUCCUCUGCAGGUUUGAACAGGGCUAGCAGGUCUCUCUCCGGAUUUCUAGGGCUAUGGGGGCGCAUUCUGGGGUCUCUGCGCAAGACCAGCUCUCAGCUCUCUCUCCUUUCCUCGGACUCUGGAGCGGGAGCGGGCCUUUCCCUCGGGUCGACCACGCCGUAGGGGACGCCGUGAAAAGAGCCGUCGCGCCCGCUGCCUCCUGCCCGCUGCGCAGAGGGCUCCGCCCGUAGAGGUCAACUUCCCUCACCCUUUUCUCUCUCCUGCUUGCCCUCCCUCCGCCCGGCCCAGGCGCUUCCAGCCCCAGACUGUGGCCACUGGCUGAGGAGUGCGAGUCGGCUGCGCUGCCCUGAGCCUAAUCCCUCUUCCGGGCCCAGACCCGAGGUCCGCGCUCCUGGGCAGUGGGGAAGCUUUAGUGAGCAGGCUUUUCUCUCCGCAGCAAACUUGUAGCCAGACCAGAUGGGCCGCCCAGCUCUCUCG